rnacentral:rRNA from 1 species
AUUGAACGCUGGCGGCAGGCCUAACACAUGCAAGUCGAACGAGUGGCGGACGGGUGAGUAAUGUCUGGGAAUCUGCCUGAUGGAGGGGGAUAACUACUGGAAACGGUAGCUAAUACCGCAUACCAUCGGAUGUGCCCAUCUGGGAUUAGCUAGUAGGGGGGGUAACGGCUCACCUAGGCGACGCUCCCUAGCUGGUCUGAGAGGAUGACCAGCCAGACUGGAACGGAGACAGGGUCCAGACUCCUACGAGAGGCAGCAGUGGGGAAUAUUGCACAAGGGGCGCAAGCCUGAUGCAGCCAUGCCGCGUGUAUGAAGAAGGCCUUCGGGUUGUAAAGUACUUUCAGCGGGGAGGCGUUACCCGAAGAAGAAGCACCGGCUAACUCCGUGCCAGCAGCCGCGGUAAUAC